CUCAACGCCGAUCCUUCCUCCUCUCCUUCCUUCCCCGACCUCCCUUCCUUCUCCGAUCUCCCUUGCGGAUGAGCGACGCCGAUGAGAGUGAGGCUCUAGCUCCGGCGAUCUCCCUCUGCAAUCAUCGACCCUCAAGCUCAGGUCCAGCCGAAGCCCUUCUUCUCGCUCUGAUCUCUCUGUUUUCUCACGGGGACGAACCGACACCGACGAUCGCCGGUGUAGAUCUAUUUCCAAAGCAUCAAGGGUGAGCUAUCUUGUUCUUCCUUGAUUUCCCAUAAGCCUCAGCGCCAAAUCUUCACUCGAUUUCCUCCUCUUCCUUUGGUGGUGUUGUGCCCUAGCGGAAUCUUGAAGGUGGAAGAUUUCUUGGUUUCGGCCACCACAGCUCCAUUAGGGAUCACGUUCUUCGUCGGAUCUGUGAUCAACACCAGUGACUGAAGAGAAAGAGAAUAGAGAAAGGCAUGGAUUGUGGACUUUCCCUGUUGCCAUUCACUGUCUCUUCACUUCUAGUAGCUAUGGGGGGUCUCGGUUGAAGAGGUGGGGAUCAAUUUAGGAUUUUGGAUAUGGGACGAUCAUCACAAUGUGGGAUUUAUUUUAUCACGAUUGACAGAUUUAAGG